ACCAUAGCAGCAACAUUUUUCUAUAAAACCGACUGUGUUUCUCUAUUAUAUUAUAUUUAAACGUUAACUUGAUAGAAUUUCGGGAAUUUAAAAUGGUAAGAACAAAUAUUAUUUAUANAUAAGUAGAUAGCUUAAAAAUACUAUAAAAAAUAAAAAUAUUAAAUUAUUUCGUAAAUAUUUUAAAAACCAUUUAUUUUAAAUAUUUAGAGAUUUAUAAAUAUUAUCUAAUAAAUAAUUUAAUAAUAAUUGAAAACGUAAAUAUUUAAGUCAAAUAAGUAGAUAUUUUAAAAAUACUAUAAAAAAUAAAAAUUUUAAAUUAUUUCGUAAAUAUUUUAAAAACCAUUUAUUUGAAAUAUUUUGUGAAUUUCAUGUAAUAUAUAUUUUAAAAAUAACGAUUUUAGAUUCCGAGCUUGGGAAAAACGUAGGAAAUCUUGCAAUUUCACGAUUUCAUUAUUUUAUGAAAACACGGACGACUUUUUCUACCAGAAAAAAAUGAUUUAAUCGAAAAAUCACAAGACACCUUUUCAUUUAUUUUCAUCGUCAAAACUUUUGAGCCAGUUAUGAGUUUUUAAGGAAUUAUAAUUUUUGGGGGUUUUUUUGCUGUUAGUUGGGCAUAAAUAACGAAGAAACGUAGAAAAAACUUACUGUUUGAUGAUAUCAUUAUUUUACACUAAUACGGAAAAUUUUAAUAUUAGGAAAAUUGCUUUAAUCGAAAAAUGACAAGAAACCAUUUUUGUUUCAUUGUACAUCUUGUUUCUUAUGGUGCAAGUCAUUUUUUGAUUUCAUAAUGUUUCAGAAAAAAUCAGAAAAAGACGAAUUUGUUGUAAUUCAGUAAAAAAUUUUUGAAGUGACUUGAAAAAUGGACAGAAUUCUCACAUAGCUACGUUUACACAUCGCUACAUGAGCGCGAGCACGAGUGAGCAUUGAUCGAGCGGCUCGCGUGCGUAAGCUUUGAACUGAGCAGCUUGACUUGAAUUUUUUCGCUUACGAGCACCGAAAACCAUGAGCCAACGAUUGUCUCGAUGUGCUCAGAGGAUUUUAUUCAUAUUUGAGCCGAAUUCGUUAACCUUGAUAUUCUAACGGCUUUUUCACGUUUCUGAGCCGAGCAUAGUCCAACUGUAUUGAAUUAUUAUUUUAUUUCUUUUUUAAAUAAAACUUCGUCGAGUAUAAAACAGGGCAAUAUUAGAUAUAUACAGAUACCCAUGUGAAUAUUAUGAUAUGACGAUGAAAGUAUGAAAUCAAUUAACAAUUACUUUUCAUAGUUAUUAAUUUAUUUUAUCGUUGAAAUGAAACCUCUAUUAAUUGGGACCUCUCAAUAGUGGACCCUUCCUAAUAGUGGACACAUUUAAAUUCCCUGGCAAAAAUGUGUGUACAUAAUAGGAGUUAA